rnacentral:tmRNA from 1 species
GGGGAUGUAAUGGUUUCGACAUGAUUAGGAAGCUUUUAACCGCAGUGGGGUAAGCCCCUUAUCGCUUAAAAGCAAUAAAUGCAAACUCUAAGAAUGAAGUAGAACCAAGCGUUCGCAGUGAAGACUUCGCUAACGAAGAAAGAGUUAAUUUAUCUUCCUUCGAAAUGAGCAAACUUUCACAAGUUGCUAUUGCACUAGCUUAAAACUACAGACGCUAGUAACAGCAAACAAUUUUUCUUAUCCUAGCUAUUUUUCACUAGGAUAAGAGUGACAUAAAGUCACCCUAAUUUUUCUUUCAUCUUCUAUCUUGUUGCUUGGUUUUUAAUUUUCCCAACUAGCAAUCUAUGGUGUGAUUACCAUAGACUCUGAUUUUUAUUUUUCAUUAAGUUUAAUCCUCCUACUUUUUCUCUAAUGUUAAGGCUUUUUUCUCCUUAACAUCUUAAGAAAGAUAGUCUUAAACAUGCAACUUAAUUUUGUUUAAGUACAAAAUUUUGCAUGAAAUUAUCUCUUUUUUAUUUUUAUUUUCAUAAUUUUUCCUUCUUAUUUUUUAUUUUCUUAAUUUCUUUUUUAUAUUAUCGUUUAGUUUCGUUCUAAAAGAUGAAAUUGAACUAAACUUGUAUAUGUUAUUAGCAACCUAAUUGUGGAAACGGGUUCGAUUCCCGUCAUCUCCACCA